rnacentral:rRNA from 1 species
GACCUCAGUUCAGUAAGCAUAUUACUAAGCCGAGGAAAAGAAACUAACAAGGAUUCCCCUAGUAGCAGCGAGCGAACAGGGAAGAGCCCAGCGCUGAAUCCCCCGGGCCUCGCUCGGCGGGAAAUGUAGCGUUUGGGAGGGCCCGUCAACACGGCGACUCGCUCACUGGUUCAAGUCCAACUUGAAUGGGGCCACACAGAGGGUGACAGGCCCGUAGAGCAGGAGCGGUUGUCGUGUGGGUCUCUCCUUAGAGUCGGUUUGCUUGAGAGUGCAGACUUAAGUGGGUGGUAAACUCCAUCUAAGGCUAAAUAUGACCACGAGACCGAUAGCACACAAGUACCGUGAGGGAAAGGUGAAAAGAACUUUGAAGAGAGAGUUCAAGAGUACGUGAAACUGAAGUGGUGUAAACGGACGAGUUCGAAAAGUCCGAAUGGUGAGAUUCAAGCUUACCGUGCCGGUGGCCCUCGGGUUCAGAUGGCGUCGUCAGCUCGGGCUUCGGUUCGGGUCAUACGGCGUCACUCGUCCUGGGGGUAUCUGUCUGGUGCGGUGGGCUGCACUUCUCGCCUAGUAGGACGUCGCGACCCGUUGGGAUGUUCCGUUCACUGGCCCUCGGUGGAGCCCGCGCCGGAGCGUGGCCUUGUGCCGCGUUGCUGUUUGCACGGACCCGGGGUGACCUGAUCGGCGCCCGACGGUAUCAAAGCUUGGGAAGAGGCCGCACAGAGGAUGCGUUCGAUGGCCGUUUCGGCCUACACUCGGACAGGCCUGCACCCGGUCAGCGGGCGCUUCUAGCUUUCG